rnacentral:rRNA from 1 species
AAGGAGGGGGCAAGCGGUAAGCGGAAGGAUGGGGCGUAAAGAGUGCGUAGGUGGUUUUUUAAGCGUGAGGUGAAAGGCAAUAGCUUAACUAUUGUAAGCCUUGCGAACUGGAAGACUUGAGUGCAGGAGAGGAAAGUGGAAUUCCUAGUGUAGCGGUGAAAUGCGUAGAUAUUAGGAGGAACACCAGUGGCGAAGGCGACUUUCUGGACUGUAACUGACACUGAGGCACGAAAGCGUGGGGAGCAAACAG